AGCUACCCAGUGGCACUAUCAUAGCCAAUGUGGUUUAUCUGAGGCACGAUUAUUGCUAAUUGAAAACAUUUCCCAAUAGCCCGAGGUGACAACUUGAAAUAUAGUCACCAUUGGCAAUUUUUGACAGUCUCUAUGGAGA